rnacentral:lncRNA from 10 species
GUUGAGACUCCAGGGGUGUUCGGGGCUGGGAGCCUGCUGAGUGUUCCCUGUUCCCACCUCCAAUCUGCUCCAUCCUCCAGCUGCAUUUCAUUCCGGAUCUACCAGCAGGAUCCAACUUUACUACUGUCAUGGAGGGAAUUACAGUAAUUCUACCAACUUUUGAGGCAACCUUCUUCUGACACUGUGUGAAACAGACUGAAAAGACUCUAAAGAUGGAGAGAGCUCAAUGCUUGAUCUUUUUUAUACAGAGUCUUAUUCUGUCACCUAGGCUGGAGUACAGUGGUGCAAUCACAGCUCACUGCAGCCUCGAUCUCCUGGACUCAACUAAUCCUCCUGCCUCAGCCUUCUGGGUAGUUGAGACUACAGAUACAGAAGAUGAGAGAGAGAAAAAGAGAGAAAUUACAGAGUGACGGAGAAGGCAGACAUCAUGCAACAUGCUCAAGGGCUAUUCAUUUUAAGCUGAAACAUACAUGUGUAGAAAGCA